CGCCUCCUGAAUAAUAAAACAUAGGAGGUCCCGCCUGCCCUGUGACCAAAAGUUUAACGGCCGCGGUAUUUUGACCGUGCGAAGGUAGCGCAAUCACUUGUCUUUUAAAUGAAGACCUGUAUGAAUGGCAUAACGAGGGUUUAACUGUCUCCUUCCCCUAGUCAGUGAAAUUGAUCUGCCCGUGAAGAAGCGGACAUAAUAAUACAAGACGAGAAGACCCUAUGGAGCUUAAGACACAAGACCAAACAUGUUAAACAACCCCAAAUAGGUAAAAACACAAUGAAAUCUGGUCCCAAAUGUCUUCGGUUGGGGCGACCAUGGGGAAAAAUAAAACCCCCACGCUGAUUGGGAUAACCUCCUAAAACUAAGAAAUACAUUUCUAAGCCACAGAAUUUCUGACUUAUAUGAUCCGGCCCAAAAGCCGAUCAACGAACCAAGUUACCCUAGGGAUAACAGCGCAAUCCUCUUUUAGAGUCCAUAUCGACAAGAGGGUUUACGACCUCGAUGUUGGAUCAGGACAUCCUAAUGGUGCAGCCGCUAUUAAGGGUUCGUUUGUUCAACGAUUAAAGUCCU
rnacentral:rRNA from 1 species